CGCCAGUAGCUGCUGCUCCGUUCACGUGGCCUGUUUCGGGUGAUGCGGAUGUGGAUUCCGAAGCCAGGUCCAGCCUUCAGACUUCCGCGGGGAAGGUAAAAUAUUUUUGCUGUUCUCCAGUAAAUUCGUGAGGAGAGAAAAGUAGCACGCCCCUUGAAAGACUCUGUGCUGCACACCUAUAAUCACAGCACUCUGGGAGGCUGAGGCAAGAGGAUCACAAGAGUCUAGCCUGGGGAAUUUAGUGACUUAGUGAGAACCUGACUCAAAAAUGAAAAAUAAAAAGUUCAAGUAAAUAAAUUCAACAGAAUAAAAUUCAAGUAAGACGUACACAGUUUAACCAAUCAGACAGAAAUAAGGAAAAUUCCUUCUGGCUUCCCCUCAAGUGUGAAUCCUGGUUCCUCUCUGUGUCAGACGAGCUACUCAGGGUGUUGAUUACCUGAAUGCGUUCUCAGACAGCCCUGGCCUUUUCCCCAGUGCCAGCCACUCCCGCGGAAGUUUGACUAUGAAGAUGUCUAAGGUCACUGUCCUUGAGUUUCUUACAGUCUAUGCAAAGACAGCUGCAUGAAGAACAGAGCACGGUACCCGACCUAAGUCAGCGUGUUGGGCUGUGAACCAGGAGGACUCCAUGGAGGAGCGCUCGGCUGGGCCCCCUGAGAGGACAGGUGCCAAACAAUUAUGGUAAGUCAGGCUAAAAAUACAGACAGGCUUCAGAAAAACUCUUGACAGACAACAUGAUAAUUUUGUCUACAAGUGAAAAUGUGGCUGCAUGCGAUGGAAAGAUGUACAGAUGCUGGAAUUACACAAAAAGAAUCACAUGCUCUUUACGACAGGACGUUCAGCUGUCUUGGCUGAAAACAGGGAAGAGAGGCAGCCUGCUGUGGGGACACCAGCCGUGGACCGACGCCCUUCUAUGAGAGCUGGCCCAGCUGAGGGGGAAAGUUGCCGCGCAGGCCGUGCGCUUGGCUGUCCUCGCCACGGGAGCCUCUGCCGCUGCGGCUCUCAGCAUUCCAGUGGCAUGACUCCAAGGGAUGAACCUGCAUCGCCUCGUUACUGUCAAUUUGUUGUCAUCUGUUUGCUGUAA
rnacentral:lncRNA from 1 species